rnacentral:rRNA from 1 species
GGAAACACGGCCCAAACCCCUACGGGAGGCACCAUUAGGGAAUCUUCCGCAAGGGACAAAAUUCUGACGGACCACCCCCCCGGGAGUGAUGAAGGUUUUCGAAUCGAAAACUAACCAAAAACCCACGGCUAACUACUUGCCACCAGCCGCGGUAAUACUUAGGUGGCAAGCGUUGUCCGGAUUUAUGGGGCGUAAAGCCCGCGCAGGCGGUUUCUUAAUCCUGAUGUGAAAGCCCCCGGCUCAACCGGGAAGGUUCAUUGAAAACUGGGAAACUUGAUUGCAAAAAGAAAUGGGAAUUCCCUUGUAGCGUGAAUGCGUAGAGAUGGGAGGACCCCAGUGGCAAAGGCGACUCUCUGUCUGUACUGACCCUGAGCCCAAAGCGUGGGAGCAACAGAUUAAUACCCUGUAGUCACGCCGUAAACGAUGAGUGCUAGGUGUAGAGGGUUUCGCUCUUUAUGCUGCACAAACGCAUAGCACUCGCUGGAGUACGUCGCAGACUGAACU